AGAGUUUGAUCAUGGCUCAGGACGAACGCUGGCGGCGUGCUAACACAUGCAAGUCGUACGGGACUUGGGGGCAACUCCAAGUUCAGUGGCAGACGGGUGCGUAACACGUGAAGAACUUGUCCGGUGGCGGGGGAUAGCCGGCCCAACGGCCGGGUAAUACCGCGUACGCUCGCGUGACGGCAUCGUUGCGCGAGGAAAGCAGCCGCAAGGUUGCGCCGACGGAGAGCUUCGCGGCCUAUCAGCUAGUUGGCGGGGUAAUGGCCCACCAAGGCGACGACGGGUAGCUGGUCUGAGAGGAUGGCCAGCCACAUUGGGACUGAGACACGGCCCAGACUCCUACGGGAGGCAGCAGUGGGGAAUCUUGCGCAAUGGCCGCAAGGCUGACGCAGCGACGCCGCGUGUGGGAUGACGGCCUUCGGGUUGUAAACCACUGUCGGGAGGAACGAAUACUCGGCUUCGAAUAGGAGCCCGAGGGUGACGGUACCUCCAAAGGAAGCACCGGCUAACUCCGUGCCAGCAGCCGCGGUAAUACGGAGGGUGCGAGCGUUGUCCGGAAUCACUGGGCGUAAAGGGCGCGUAGGUGGCCCGUUAAGUGGCUGGUGAAAUCCCGGGGCUCAACUCCGGGGCUGCCGGUCAGACUGGCGAGCUAGAGCACGGUAGGGGCAGAUGGAAUUCCCGGUGUAGCGGUGGAAUGCGUAGAGAUCGGGAAGAAUACCAGUGGCGAAGGCGUUCUGCUGGGCCGUUGCUGACACUGAGGCGCGACAGCGUGGGGAGCAAACAGGAUUAGAUACCCUAGUAGUCC
rnacentral:rRNA from 1 species